rnacentral:lncRNA from 1 species
CGUUUUUCAAUUUUUGAAAACACUCAGAACAUGUUUGGUAUAUUAUUUUCAAAAAUGCAAUUUUGAAAACAAGGAAAAUUUUAUAACAUAAAAUUCAAAAUGACUUUUUGACAUUUUGAGUGUUUUCAAUAAACACUCAAAAAUACUCAAAACAAGGAAAAUGAGCUUAAAAAUUUUCCAAAUUAAAAUAAUUAAUAACAUCACACAAAAUUUACCCAAAUACAAAUACCCCUCUCCCUCUCCCUCU